AAAACAGAGUAAAACC
rnacentral:sRNA from 1 species